rnacentral:rRNA from 1 species
UACGUAGGGGGCAAGCGUUGUCCGGAAUCAUUGGGCGUAAAGAGCGUGUAGGCGGCUCGAUAAGUCCGCUGUGAAAGUCCAGGGCUCAACCCUGGAAGGCCGGUGGAAACUGUCGGGCUAGAGUCCGGAAGAGGCGAGUGGAAUUCCUGGUGUAGCGGUGAAAUGCGCAGAUAUCGGGAGGAACACCAGUAGCGAAGGCGACACGCUGGGCCGAAACUGACGCUGAGGAGCGAAAGCGUGGGUAGCAAACAGG